AUCAGGGACUGUGGCAUUGGGAGGAAAUGAGGAUUAUGGGAAGAUCAGGAUGGAGGAGAUCAGUCUGGACAUGUUUUUUCUCAUCACUCCUGAACUCACGUGAUUUCAAGGAACCCCAGAGACUGGUUCUGCUGCUGCUGAUGCUCAUCUCGACCAUGUGGCUGGAUGCUGAAUGGAUGCAUGAAUGGAGGGAAGGAUGGUGGGAAGGAUGAAGGAUGGAUGAAUAAAUAGCCAUAAUAUAUAGAGAUACAAAGCGGAUACAAACCGGGACACGGGAUUCAUUAUAUAGAGUGCAAUUUACAUUAAAUCCAAAAUAAUGUAAACUUUUAUUUUGAAAGCCGGAUGUGAGAUAAGAUGAAGCGGAAGUUGCGUGUACGUGUUGCUGAGUGUGUGUAUGAACCGGUUAGAGAUUUUCCUGCGUUUACAUUUAUUUUACUGUUAUAGCAUUUAGUGUUAUUUUAUAGUAACGGAGUAGCGAAGCUGCUAACUUAGAGGAGACAGGAGGCUGUACUGCAGUGAGGAGUUACCAUGGAAACAGACACGUCACUGCUGCGGGCGGAGGAGGAGGAGGAGCUCUAUAACCUGCUGCAGGUAUUUCAUUUCUACUAAUUAAAUUCAUAACUUUAAUAAGCCCCGCCCACUACAGCUAAUUAAUCACCUGUUCAUUACAUUCAUGAUAAUACACACACAACUCUCUAACUUAAUCACACACACAACACACACACACAAAACUCUCACUCAAUCACACACAC